rfam:Nematostella vectensis strain CH2 x CH6 NEMVEscaffold_510_Cont29076, whole genome shotgun sequence.
GCCGAAAUAGCUUAGUUGGGAGAGCGUCAGACUGAAGAUCUGAAGGUCCCUGGUUCAAUCCGGAGAGUUUGUA